rnacentral:tRNA from 1 species
AUUUUGAUGGUCGAAUCUUAGCAGGCGAUAGGUUGUAAACCUAUAUAUAGGAUCUAAAAUAUCCUUCAGAAUA